rnacentral:lncRNA from 1 species
AGGACUUCACUGAGCAACAGCCAAGUCCUCUGACACUGCUUCCAAGCUCUGCCUCGUUCUCAGGCCACCGGCAGUUUGGACGCAGGGGAUCGAUCCUUCUGGUGACUGCCGCUGCCUGCAAGUAUCAAAUGAUGGCCCGCACAUUCUCGCUGGCUGUUCCUUUUUCCUAUGCAUAUACUUCUUUGUGAAUCUGGUCUAAAGAGGUAUAGCGCAUGGGAAAAUGGAGCAGUGAGAUCUUCCCCACCCAAAGUCUUUAGCAUCUGCUUCCCGACCAGGCGACUUCUGCUUCCCUCCCGCUGGACCAGGGCUGGGCGCUUUCCUGUCUGCUCCGGGGCACUGUAAAAGAGCCGCAAGGCCUUUCCAGGGAACAGCGCGUUCCCAAGUGGAUCUUGGGACCCGGUUGUUCAGGUGUUAAAAUGGAGGGCUUAGAUAGAAUGGAGGGGUACGCUGGGGCAGAUCUGACCUAUCCGAGGUUUUACAGUGGGUGUUGGGACAGGAACUGAAGCAGAUCCAUCUGAGUUUGUGCUUUGGCAAUCCUGAGUUCUAGGGACCUUAGAAGAGGCGAAUGGGCUCAGGACUUGAUCUUUGAAAUUUUCUUUAGUGUGAAAUCAGUGUGAACACAUUUUUACACUAGUGGGUGACGUCGGGUCUGAUGUUGGAGGAGGUAAAAGGACCAGCUGAGGGGUCAGUGGGCCCCGGGUUCAGUCGUGUAGCUGCUUCUCACCAUGAUUGCAUUUUUAUAAUGAUGGGUGUGGUUGAUUUUUUGAGCCCAAGUUCUAGUGAAGCUGACCACUCAGUGGCAGAAUGCUCGCCACUGAUGAGUAAGGAGGUCUUUGGGCUCAGUUUCCAGAACUGAAAAAAAGAUGAAAAUCAGGAAAAUAAAAUAUUUGGACC